rnacentral:rRNA from 1 species
AUGCACGCUGGCGGCGUGCCUAAUACAUGCAAGUCGAGCGAACGGACGAGAAGCUUGCUUCUCUGAUGUUAGCGGCGGACGGGUGAGUAACACGUGGAUAACCUACCUAUAAGACUGGGAUAACUUCGGGAAACCGGAGCUAAUACCGGAUAAUAUUUUGAACCGCAUGGUUCAAAAGUGAAAGACGGUCUUGCUGUCACUUAUAGAUGGAUCCGCGCUGCAUUAGCUAGUUGGUAAGGUAACGGCUUACCAAGGCAACGAUGCAUAGCCGACCUGAGAGGGUGAUCGGCCACACUGGAACUGAGACACGGUCCAGACUCCUGCGGGAGGCAGCAGUAGGGAAUCUUCCGCAAUGGGCGAAAGCCUGACGGAGCAACGCCGCGUGAGUGAUGAAGGUCUUCGGAUCGUAAAACUCUGUUAUUAGGGAAGAACAUAUGUGUAAGUAACUGUGCACAUCUUGACGGUACCUAAUCAGAAAGCCACGGCUAACUACGUG